GCGGGUCGGGGCUCCGGGCAGCGCGGGAGCGAGCUGGCGCCGUCGCGGGCCGGGGUGCUCGCCGAGGGGCGGUCGGUCGGACGGCCUCUGGGCCCAGAGGCGCCGCCCCGGCCUGCGGGUUGUGGGUCUAGGCGCAAGCGUAGGGCCUGGUGGUGCCCUCUUCCCCUCGCUCGCCGGCCCUAGGGGCCGGAGGCCGAUAGCGUGGUCUCUCGGAUUUCCUUGGCGAGGACGCCAGCCCCAUCCCUUUGAAGGACCGCACUCCGGCCUGGAUCCCACUCGGCAACUGGCGACGGGAGGUGACAGCAGAGGCUGGACCGGCCCACGUGCAAACUUCGCGGUCUGGAGCUGCUCUUCAGUGAUUUGAACCCAACUUACUCUCGCUGUUUAUGAAAACUCCUGGGGGCUCAUCAUAAGACUUCAGAUGACAUUAUGACUACUGCGUUUUGUUUUUGUUUUUGUUUUCAAGUAUCUACAGAGUCUCAAGGGUGGAAUGUUAAGACUUAUUAACUAAGUUCUCAAAUAUUUCAUUUUUGUGAAAAUCAAGUUUUGUAUGAUUUGGAAAUUUUUUUAUGGUUUUGAUUCAUUUGGUGAAUGUUUACCCUUCAGCUCACUUUGACAACCCUACAAAUCCUUCUGCUUGUGUUGAAAAAAAUUUAAGCUAGAUAAUCACUAUGAGCUUCAUAUUAAUAUUGCUUUUUUUAGAUUGUACCCUUUUCUCCUGAAUCUGAUGAGGUGGAUGUUCAAGUCAUUGAAUUGCCUGAGGUUCAAGUAUGAUUUGAGUUUUGCAGACCUUGGGAUUAAUAAAUGAGCAAUAGUAUUGUGAAGAUACUUAGAUGCUUCAUUUACAUGUUGUGUAGACAUGAGAAUGGAUUGUGUUAUCAGCCUCAUUGCAAGAUACUAGUUACCUCCCUACGUGGUGGCUAAUUUUCUGUCUUGAACCUUUAGUUCAGAUUUAUCCUUUUACUUUUUCUGUGCAUAGUGGUUGUAGGAGUUAAGACAUCUGUUAAGAAAAUUAGGAAUGAGUGAGAAGAAACAACUAGAGAAAUCAGGAAAGAAUUACCAAAAUACGAAGUUUGAAUAAAGUAGUCUGGAUUAAUAUCA